GACCCCAAAGUCUGUGAACAUUUUUUUGGGGGGGGGUGAUCUUCUGAGGGCCUUUCUGUUGGUCACAGCAACCCUGGAGUCCCCUGAGCCAACAGGCCUUCCCAGCUAACCUUUCUUAAGAGCCUGGACAGAAAGUGCAUUCCUAGGAGCUGUUAACAGCGCUCAGCAUCUACAUCUGCCGCUUGUCUGAGCACCACACUGGGCUGGCAGGAAGGCCUGGCUGAGACCUUGGAACUUAGUCACUGUGCCUGUCCUCAGACCAGCAGCCGUCUGCUUGCCAAGCAACCCCUUUCAGGAUGUUGCUGUCUCUUGAUUCUUCUGUAAACAAUGGAGAUGGACCAGACCUGGCUGUAAUCUGGGGCGCCAGAGGAAUUCCAGGAGGUGCGAGCUGGAUCUAGAAGGAUGUGGAGAUCCCAGUUCUGCGAAUUGAGACCAGGAACCCAGUGUCUGUGUGCCCUCUCCCCGAACCAUGGAACUGUGGCCGCGGGGUGGCGCUGUGGGCCAGGCACUCCUCCGAGGAUCUCAUGGAAGGAAGCUGGCUGCUCCGGAGCGCCUCCAAGCCGAAUGAGCUCCAUCUCGCCUUCCUGACCGGCUAGCCUCUCUGCAACCUCUGGGGAGCUGGUGACGAGCCGUGAGACCCCACUUUGACCAAGACCCGUCGGCCAGACCUGCAUCUCACCCCUGCUCUUCCUCCUUCCGCCACCGAGACCCAAGGAUCGCGGCAGCGCCCCGAGGGCAGCUCCUGGGUCUGCCUCCCGGGACUGGCCACACCAUGAAGAAAUGCCUUCCGAGUCUUUCACCAUGUGUUUGCUGUCUACAUUUCUUUUGGGGUGAGUGGGCAGCCUUGGUCACUUGGGGCUCUCUGCGUUCAGGCUCCCCUGUGGCCCAGGACCCCGGUAGCCUUUCCAGGAGGCAGCAGGGAAUGCUGGAUGCUCAUGGAGAGAAUAAUCUAUACAGGGCAGAGGCCUUCCCCCAACAACAACAAAAAAAUCUCCCUGCCCCAGGUGCCCCCUGGUGGUCAGAUGGGAGGUGGCCUC